CCAGGCGUGGACUACAACUCCCGGGGUGCCCCACGCGCCUCCCGGAAGUGAUAGCCCGGGUCGCCUCCGACCUCGGCGCUGGGCUGGCGCGUCGGGCCUGGGGAAGGGUCUGGCGCGUCGGGCCUGGGGAAGGGGCGGGCGCGGGGACCCGAUGCGCGGAAGCGGAGGCCUAGAUGGCUUCGGCGGGAGGCGACGACUGCGAGAGCCCCGCGCCGGAGGCCGACCGUCCGCACCAGCGGCCCUUCCUGAUAGGGGUGAGCGGCGGCACUGCCAGCGGGAAGUCGACCGUGUGUGAGAAGAUCAUGGAGUUGCUGGGACAGAACGAGGUGGAGCAGCGACAGCGGAAGGUGGUAAUCCUGAGCCAGGACAGGUUCUACAAGGUCCUGACGGCAGAGCAGAAGGCCAAGGCCUUGAAAGGACAGUACAAUUUUGACCACCCAGAUGCCUUUGAUAAUGAUUUGAUGCACAGGACUCUGAAGAACAUUGUAGAGGGCAAAACUGUGGAGGUGCCGACCUAUGAUUUUGUGACGCACUCAAGGUUACCAGACACCACAGUGGUCUACCCUGCGGAUGUGGUUCUGUUUGAGGGCAUCUUGGUGUUCUACAGCCAGGAGAUCCGGGACAUGUUCCACCUGCGCCUUUUCGUGGACACCGACUCCGACGUCAGGCUGUCUCGAAGAGUUCUCCGGGACGUGCGCCGAGGGAGGGACCUGGAGCAGAUUCUGACGCAGUACACCACCUUCGUGAAGCCGGCCUUCGAGGAGUUCUGCCUGCCGACAAAGAAGUAUGCCGACGUGAUCAUCCCGCGAGGAGUGGACAAUAUGGUUGCCAUCAACCUGAUCGUGCAGCACAUCCAGGACAUUCUGAAUGGUGACAUCUGCAAAUGGCACCGAGGAGGGUCCAAUGGGCGGAGCUACAAGCGGACCUUUUCUGAGCCAGGGGACCACCCUGGGAUGCUGACCUCUGGCAAACGGUCACACUUGGAGUCCAGCAGCAGACCCCACUGAGGGGCUGCCGGGCCUUGGGGCAGGUCUCCCGCCUGGCAUGUGUGUUCAGGGACUGAGCCUGGGGACGCCCACCCACACCCGCUGCUUCCUCUCAGCGCACCCAGGGGGGUGUUAGCGAGGCCCUCCUCACUCAGGAGUGGAAACUCGGAUGUGUCACUCAGACUCAACUUGCUGGGACACUGACAGGCGUUCCUGAGGUUUUCAGCCACUUCCUCAGACUCAUUGCGGUUUAAAGAGCUCUCUAGGUCACUGAGAAAUGCCACAGAACGUGCAGGACGCCUGGGAAAUGCCACAGAAUGCGCAGGACGCCUGGGAAAUGCCACAGAAUGUGCAGGACGCCUGGGAAAUGCCACAGAAUGCGCAGGACGCCUGGGAAAUGCCACAGAAUGCGCAGGACGCCUGGGAAAUGCCACAGAAUGCGCAGGACGCCUGGGAGGCUUCUUGUUUUCGGAUCAAGAUGUCCCAGCUGUCUUUCCAGCGAAGGGCCUUGAGUUCAUGUGGCAAGAGCGACUUGUCCCCGUAGGUGAGUGGGCGCAGCGUGUUGGACACGUGGCAUGCGGAGGAGUACCAAGCCACCACCAGGGCACUGAAGACGCUCCUCUGGAGCUGGGACCUGCAGAGGUCAGAGCAGUGUGCGGGAGGGUGGCUGACCACUGCAGCUUCCCUGCCCGGCACCCUCUUGGCAUCUGCUGUCCACACGGUCACCCCCCGAGGCCUGGGGUUCUGCCUUCAGGUUUCUGUGUCUUGUCUCCUGCCACCCGUGACCAUCUCCCACCUGGAUGCACUGAGAGAGGCCCCCUGACGACUCCUCAGGCCUCCACAGUGGCUGGGCCACCUCCACACAGAUGCCAGAGGACUGGUCCCAAACCCACGGUCCUCCCUCGUGUGGCUUCCUGAGACUGGGAGGCCCUCGCCUUCUGCUCCAACCUCCAAACACACUCUGGUUUAGAAGCUUUCUUGGGUUCUCUCCACCACACCACACAACCCGACCAUAACCAGCUGCUGUUUCUGACACCCCGAGGCUCCCGGGCCUUGCUCCCUGCUCCCGAAUCCUCCAGGCCACCCACAUCUCUUCAUCCCUUCCCCGUCUCCCCACCCACUCCACUUUCAUCUCUGUCAGCUGUGACUUCUCCCUCUGGGUUCCUGCAGUGCCUCAUCUGGGCGUCUCUUUUGAACCAUUCCCCGGAGGGGCCAAGAGGAUGUCAGUGUAACGUGAAAUGGGUGAGGUUCGCUGCACCCCACGUGUUUGCUGCACAUGGGCUUCCCAGCAGAGGGCUGCUGCCCGGUCCAGCCACUGUCUCCACAGCCUCCGUACCUGCACAGGUGGUCGCUGAUGUGCUGCAGGACCGCAGGGAGCAGAAGGAUUUGGAAGGUGAGUGCGGGCAGGUAGUGGUAGAGGAAGAGUGUCUUCUCCAUCAGGAAGAAUGGGAGGUAGUUCACGGCCCAGCCACCCGCACACAGCGCCCCAGCCAGCACCCAGCGCAGCCAGGCAUCUAGAGGAAAGGGUUCAAGCUACACCGACUGCUGCUCCCACAGGCCAGAUUUUCUCUCUCUCGCUUUUUGAGAGAGACAGGGGUCUUACUAUGCUGUCCAGGCUGGUUUUGAACUCCUGGCCUCAGGUGACUCCCUCAUUUUGGCCUCCCAAAGUGCUGGGAUUACAAGUGUGAGCCACCGCGCCCGGCCUGGCUGCCUGUAUUAUCCAGCCAUUUCCAGCGCAUAUGGGCAACAUGGGACCAAGGGGGCAAUUCCUGCCCAAUACACUGCACGGGACUGGAGACGCCUCUAAUGCAACAUGGGAACUUAACAUUUUGUCUCUUGGGAGACAAACAAUUAUUUAAGGUUCCACAGUACAGAAACAAAGAGGCCGCCUUAAGGGGUAGGUUCCUAUGAUGUCGGUUUGUCACCUGAGGCGUGAACACUCAGCAGGAGGGGAAGGAAGAGACAUAAAAAUGAGCUGUGGGCCGGGCGCGGUGGCGCACACCUGUAAUCCCAGCACUGUGGGAGGCCGAGGCAGGAGGAUCGCUUAAGCCCAGGAGUUCAAGAACACCCUGGACAACACAGCAAGACCCCAUUUCUAUAUUAAAAAGAAAAAAGCCAUGUGGGGGAUGUACUAAUCCUGAGGGAGGUCAUGGACGCCUCUUCACCAUCGGAGCCCAUGUGCGAGGUGUACUAACCCUGAGGGAGGUCAUGGAUGCCUCUUCGCCGUCGGAGCAGGUACCACAAGGACAGCAGGGCGUAGAUGGCCAGAGCAAGGCUGCCUGAAACCCAGAUCACUAUGUUUCCAAGUAGGUGGAUCUGAGCCUAAGGGAACACGGGUGAUACUGUUAGCCACCUGCCCUCUGCUCAGUGAGGGAAGAGAACACAGGAAAGGAAUUCAGAUGCACGCACUACUUCAGCAGAGUGAAAAAACACCAGGCACAGCCUAGCAUCCACUAGGCCUUACUACUACUGUGGACAGGUCUGCUCCUACUCAGACCUUUCAUUAAAAGCACUGAUGCCAGCCGGGCGUGGUGGCACAUGCCUGUAAUCCCAGCACUUUGGGAAGCUGAGGUGGGCAGAUCACCUGAAGUCAGGAGUUUGAGACCAGCCUGCCCAACGUGGUGAAACCCCGUCUCUAUUAAAAAGUAUAAAAAUUAGCUGGGCAUUGUGGUGGGCACCUGUAAUACCAGCUACUUGGAAGCUGAGGCAGGAGAAUUGCUUGAACCUGGGAGGCGGAGGUUGCAGUGAGCCAAGAUCCCACCACUGUACUCCAGCCUGGCUGACAGAGCAAGACUCCGUCUCUCUCUCUCUCUCACACACACACACACACACACACACACACACACACAGCACUGAUGCUCUCAAUUUUGUAAUUGGAAACUGAAAAUUGGGAGCAGAUGACUCCGCUUUGUAACAGCAGCCCUGUCCACAGAGGAGAAUGCAAAGUGCGCUCGGAGCUCGGGGUGGGGCGGCCUCUGGGCCUGCGCCUCUGCCUUCAGUGCACGUGCUGAGCCGACCUACUCGCCUCUGAGGGAGGAGGAAAAAGGUGGGCAUUUCCAGCGUCUGCCCAUUCAGUGAAUAUUUAUGGGGCACUGACUGUGUGCCUGGCCUACCAAUGCUUUCACUCUGCCGGGUGGAGAGAGACGGCACACACAUCAACAAAGCACUGGCAAGCUCCACCACCAGGUGCCAUGCGGAAAAUUGAACGGGAAUAUCUUAAAACCACUUUCGCCAGGAAAAGGGGAACAAUGUGUCUCCACAAAAGCAAUCAAGCUGGGUUUCCUUCAACAGGCAGGCAUGCCACACCCCUACUCCUGGCUCCAGGUUGCCAAAGCGUUUAGAGAAAACCAAGUCACAGGCCUUUGUCAGGAAAAGCUUUGGAGAAACCCAGCACUUUCUAGGGUACAGUGGCUGCUCUUAAUGCCAGGAAUUCUCAAGAAACUGAAUGAAUCUAUGACUGUCAGCUGUCAGCAUCGCUUGCUUACGCUGGUCCUGGGGUGCAGCCAGUAGGCGAUAUUGGUGUCCAGGGUGACCCACUCCAGUGGGCUGGAGCUGUACUUGUGUUCCAAGUCAUCGCUUCUCAGCGCCAGCAUCCUCCACUGGAACAAAGCAGAGGCCUCUGAGAUUGAGGAUGGGGGGGAUGCCUCCCGCUGUGCGUGGAUUUGGUCAAAGGAGUACACUGCUGCCCCUUGCACGUGGACUGUCCCACCUCAAGUUCAUUCGGAUCAUGCAUCAGAGGCAGCAUGAUCAGAACCUGGAUUCCAGCCCUGGCUGUGGCCUUGGGAGGGUCGCCCCACCCUAUGUGCUCCAGUCACCUCCUCUGUAGACGAAGUGAUUGGGCUGAAUGCUCUCUAAGGUCACGUUCAGAUUUGUGACCCUGAGUUUCUGAUUGUGACUUCUCUUGGGCUCUGUUGAGUGUGGCCCAUUUCGCCACCUGGGGGCCUUAAGACACCCUGGCGAUGUUGCAGAACCUCCUGGGUCCCUAUUAUUCCUGACCACAGGGCCACAAGAUGUGGGCCAGGGGUGUCACACACAGUCCCUUAAACUGGAGAGAGGAGACAUUCUGUCGUCAGACUGUGGCUCCAGCGUCAAAGCUUGACUCUGGUUUGAGACCUGUGCAGCCCCCAGGCCUCCCUGCUGAGGAAUCAAUGCUCAGCGAGCUAGGCCAGCUUCUCCUGGCCGCUCCUCACCUGCAGCUCCGAGAAUCUCGCCAUGAAGCUGAGGUUCCUGCUGACGUCCACCUGCGCAGGUGAGUGCAGCUCCCGUUCCCGCUCCCUCUGCUCCUGGCCUGGCAGAACAGACAAGGGCAUAACAGCUAGAAGCAGCACAAGGUCAAGAGCUCAGAGCAGAAGCUGUCAGCACAGCAAAAAGCUGGCUUCUUGCCUUUCCAACAAAGACCCCUCAUCGAACCACAUCAUUCCACUUAGCUUUCUCCACCACACCCAAGACUACCCGGUCAAAUGAGGCGAUUUCGACCCUGAGAAAGCUCCACUUGCACGGGGAUAAACUGGUUGCCUUCCAGCAACACCUCGGAAGAAGCGUCUUGAGUUGUUACCGCAGCAGCUGAGUGCAGGGUGCAGGGAGGGAGAUGAUGUGCCACCGAGCAUGCAGAAUGUGCUGUCACCUUCCCACCAGAAUGAGAACUCUGGGGUGUUAUCAAAUAUCGAGCAGCUGGAAGUGCAUUCCCGGAGCAGCGGAAGCCACGCCGCGGACUCACUCGCGCCAUAUCGGUGCUCCUCCACGUUCCACACUGUGCUCCCGUGGUAGCCCCGGGACAGCUUCUCCCCGACGAUCUCCAGCUGCCGAUACCCCCAGUCAGGGAGGUGAGCCCCGCUCAGCUGGUGACACCGCGGGAGAGAAAAGGGCGUGAUGGGAAGGCCGUGGCUCCCAUGUCCACUCGGGUUGUGUGGGGAACCCCUGCCCGGGUCACGCUGUCAGCAGGUGCCCCUUGUGGGAGUUUUCACGUUGGGAUUCCAUCCUGAGAAGUUACAAAAGCCGCCCUCCCUCAGUGUAAAAGGAAGCCAUGAUGACUCGAAUCAAGCGUCCCGCCUGCAGAGAGGCGGUGAAGCCUGAGGGGCUUGGGGAACAGACUGGAGCCCACAGCUCAGGACAGGCCAAGCCAAGGACGUGUCCUUACCUUUAAGACAGCGGAAGUGUUCACGUGCACAAAGCGGACCUCUGAGAGGAUGGUCUUCCAGACGUCUGUAUCGGAUCCCCUGUUCACAAUUUCCUGGAAGAAGAUCUCAAGGAUUAUUUCAUUCCUUUUCAAAUUUCCUUCAAUGUAAAAAUAAAGACCUGUCACCAAACAAUGAUACUGACUUGAGCCUGAGAUAAAGGGACAAGCCCCCAAGUGAGGGGAGCUACAAAGGGCUGGUGCUGGCCUUCCUUCCCAAUGCCCACAGCUCCCCGGGCUGCUCCAAGGGUCGCUGGGGAAGCACGCCCUCCUCCUUGCCAAGGCUGUACAAGAGGCCUCCUCACAGAAAAUACAAAGCCUGAUGUUCUCCGUGCCUCUCUGUGAAGCCUAUUCAUAGAGAGGGCUCAGAGCCCUGGCCGAAAAGUGAGCAAGUCUCAGUCCCUAUCUAUCUGGCAGAACUCACAGACAGCUCAGAUGAAGGCCAGACACUGUCCCUGCGAGACACAGCUUAGAGAUUUCCUCGCAUCAUGUAAUAAAAAAGACAAAUAACAUCUGAAAGACCCUUUGUCUUGUCACAGCCUGAUAUACCGGAGCCUCACAAUGACCCCAUGACGUCACAUGACUGUCAUUUUCCCAUUUUACUGUCACAACCAGAGAACCCAAGAAGCUAGGCAGGAGCAGGCAUGAGGAGGCCUGGCCGGGGUCCACGCUGCAGGCCAGGCACGCACACCUCAUGCAUGCUCCUCCUUCCUCGUUCUGUGAACUUCAGACACCUGAAAUGUGGGCUCCUGGUGCCAAAGGGGCCAUCAGAAAGGACAGAGAAGGGGCCCGUCAGAAGGGGCAGGUGCACAGCACUCACGUCAGGGAAGGACUACAGGGGGAUGGGGGGGAUGCAAAUGCAGAACGCACACAGGUAUGCAGAGCACAGAGACGGCAAGUGGGGCAGAGGGGCACACUCUGCACAAAAAUGGAACAGCCAACCAGGAGCAGUGGCUCACAUUUGUCAUCCCAGCGACUCUGGGAGGCUGAGGAGACCCAAUUCCGUAAGGGGAGCAGGUGACCCUGGUCGCUUGAAGGAAAGGUGACCACAGACCCAGCGCCUCAGGAACAUCCCCCGCACUCAUGGCUGAGCCUGUCCCCAGGGAAAUCCUGAGAAAUGGAGUUUCUCCUGGAUCAUGGUGGCAGAGGGGUGGCUGGAGCUCGUGUCCUGUGUUCAGGACCUGCUCCUGAGGCUGAACAGGUUGGGAGAACUUUCACCUAGCAGAGCCUCAAGCGCACCUGGCACCCAACAUGGAGCAAACACAAAGCAUUUAGAAUCUGAGUGAACACAGGCCUCUGACACAGGAAACCACCAGUUUCCCCAGUUCCACCAAGGAAGACGCAUCGGUUCCCUAUGAAAACAUCUGUGACUUUAUGUAUGAAUAAAACUUAUGUAACUUUA